ensembl:lncRNA
UAUACAUCUUUAUUUAGAACGGCAGGUAUGUUACUGGUAAUUACACCUUCUCAGAUCAGAUAAAUUUUAUCUUCCCUAUCUCCACCUCUGUCUAGAGUUGUUUCACAACUGCGUUCUACAGAUUUUUCCAUGAUGGUCUGUUUAUUCGUUCCGGAAUUAUUUCAGAUCUUACUUUCUUAAUAAUUUAAGCACCUCUUAGUCCAGGUCAUGACAUCUCUGCAGCACAGCCGUUGGUAAAAUACACUCACGGUUGACUCUCACUCACUGGGGAACAGUUUCUGCGAUACUUGGCAGUGCAUGUGAAAGUAGCGUUUGGCACAUGAUGAGAAGGGCACAUUCAUUAGGCAAAUUCAGCCUGAGACGAGUCAGAAGGGAGUCCUGACAUAACCUCAUGUUGCAAGAUUGCUUGCAGAAGGUUUGGUUGCUGCAAAAAAUAAAAAAAUAAGCAUACCCUCACAUGUUCACAAAUAUUUAAUGCAAACAUGCACUCUUCUCUAAGUUUGACCGCAGAGUUAUAAAAAUAUGUUCCUCAAACUCAAAGCUUCCUCAUUUAUGUUUAAAAAUGUGUCACUUCAGGGAAUUCUGAAAAAGCAAAUUUGUAGAAAGUGGAAUAUUGAGACUCAGUACAUGCAUGUAAAAUGUUAAAAAUAAAUAAUUCACAAAUAAAAAAAAGACAAGAAAACUCAGAGGUGUCAAACAAGCUGCCAAGUGGUAGAUUAUAACUGAUUGUGCAGCUUGCAAACUCAUAAAUACUUCUAAUUGUUUAAUACAAUGCAUCGCUGUCACUGGCGUGGUGAUGGCAGGCAAGUGAAUGACAAUUAAACUGCUAGUUUAUUUAGUACAAAAGUCAUCUGUCAGGGUGUGUUGCGGUAUUGUGGAUUAAUUGUAAUCUGCAAACUGUAAUACAUGUAGCGGGGCGUCAAACGUAAGGCCCGGGGGCCAGAAAUGGCCCUACAGAGACUUCAUUCUGGUCCAUUACACAGAAAAAAGAAAAUGUUGAGGGCAUACUUUUUGGAGUUUUACUUUCAGAAAAGUUCCUGUUUUUUCACUACCAACAAACGCAAUUCAGGGUUUUUUUUUUAUAUUAUUAUUAUUAUUUUGUUUCGUUUUGUUUUUUGCAAUUGAUCAUCAGUUUUUUGUGUUGUUUAAAAAGGACAUUUUCUUUUAAAGUUAACAAAAACGUUCUGCUUUAUAGUUACAGGAAAGUCUGGGAAAUUAGCUACCAGAAGUUUUUCCACAAUUUUCCACAUUUAUUUUUUUACAAUUUAAGUUUUGCUGACAGAUUUCUAGUCAGAUUUAGUAUUUUUCACUAUGUAGAAACACUGAGACAUGCUUUUAUUUUGAAAGAUCCUAGGAAUUAAAUGUGUAAAAGUCUUGACACCGGCUUCAUUUUUUGACACUGAAAGGUGAAAAAUUUGAAGGUGUUUCUUUUUAUUAUUAUGUAGAUCUUGUUUAGAAUUGUAUUAUUUUAUUUUAUAGACAGCUGUGGCCAGCCCAAAUGACUACAGGCCUGUUGCACUUACGCCUGUAGUGAUGAAGUGCUUUGAGAGACUGGUCUGUCAGCACAUCAGGGCCGGUCUGCCUCCCACUCUGGACCCCCACCAAUUUGCCUACAGGACAAAUCGUUCCACCGAGGACGCCAUCACCAUAGCACUCCACACUGCGCUGAGUCACCUGGAGCACCGGAAGCUAUGUGAGAAUGCUCUUUCUGGACUUCAGCUCAGCAUUCAAU